rnacentral:lncRNA from 1 species
CGUGGCUCUGUUGCUAUGGUAGUAAGAACAUGCUUUCGUUCUUCCAUAGGUGUUUGCAUGGGGACAUAUGUGGCUGUUUCCAUGGCAACAAGGUGCCUUAUCUCUUAGUGGAGCAGGAGUACAUAAGAAAAAAAGGCUUGAAUGAGUCCGAAGAGGGGGAAAUUGAAAGUGAAACUGGGCACUUCCAAAGCUAUGAUGCUGUGAGGCAAAGAAAAAAAUUCAACCUUCAAGUGUCCUGUGUUCAAGGAAUAAAAACCUCAGGAGUCCUGGCCUUCAACAAAUUUGAAGCCCAGUUCCUUAUCUUACAGAAGCAGAAAAUAAAACCCAUGGGUUGAAGAUGACAAGAAGGAGAAACUUGGCUUUUGAGUUGGUGGUCUAUAUGAGAGUUGAGCUGGCCAGGAGAAACUGAGAUACUUUAAACUUUGUUUCU